GCUCCGGUGGCUUAGUGGUUAGAGCGUCCGCCUCUGAUGUGGGAGGUCGUGGGUUCGAUCCCUGGUCGGGUCA